GAGCAGGAAUGGGAGGAUCAUUUGGCGAAGGAGGAGUACCAUAAGGAGGAUAUGGAGGACUUGGAUGAUAUGGAGGAGGGGGAUUUGGUGGAUACGGACAAUACGGAGGAUGAUGUUUCAGGACUUGGUAAAUUGGCCAAAAGGACCAAACAGACCAAUCAUUGCCAAGAAAGAAGAAGUCUAUUCGAGAAUGUCUAUUAGUUUAGAAUAAAAACCAAACACAUUGCAGCAAACU